CAGGCUGGUCUCGAACUCCUGACCUCAAGUGAUCUGCCUGCCUUGGCCUCCCAAAGUGCUGGAAUUACAGGCGUGAGCCACUGCGCCCAGCCCUCAACUCAUCCUUCUUAAAGAAUGACUUCAGUCUGAGUGAUUCUCAGAAAGCACGGGGUACCAGUGAGGCACGACAGAUAGUCAGGGAAGUAACCAUGUCCUCAGGACGCAGCAACCAUGGCGACUGCGCCGUCAACACAAUAAGCCCCAGCAUUCGCACUGCAGGCAAGCUCAUUCAAGCAAAGCUAUCUUCAGUAGGGACUUUCCCCUGUAGAGAGCACGUGCACUUUGAUUUUUACCGGUCCUCACAGUGACCCUUUGCUCAUUACAAUAGUAAAAAACACACCCCUGGAUGGAGAUUUAAGAUGCCAGUGAGACAUGUGACGUAUGAACAGGGAUGCACAGCCACUGUGCAUGAGCACCCAGAACAUGCUUCCCAGCAACCCCCUUGCCCACCUGCUCAUGAAUAAUCAGAGUAAUUGCAAUGAAGCCUUUUUCACUGUGAGCUCACCAACCGCAUUUGAAAGGCAAUUCCGUGUAUGAACAAGUGAAUGCACCCACAGGGAGGGGCUCCCCACACGCCGGUUCUGCAGCCCACUCUCCCUGGGGCCUCCGGGAGCAGCACCUCACCCACCAACCCCGCACGCCACAGGGAACGGCCUUCACUCUUCCUCUCCCUCUCACCCUUUGGCCCAAACUUUCCUAAGCUCUGCGAGACACCCAGGAAAGCCUGCGGUCCCUGAUUGCCCCUGCUGCCAUGAACAGAGCCAGAGGUCUCUAGAGGAAAAGCGUACGUAGGAGUCGCCAGCCCCAGCCACUCUGCUCGAGAAAUCCAGGACCGGCCAACCACAGGCUCUUGUGGGCCCAGAGCUGUGCAAGGGCCAGGACGGAACCAAAGUGGAAAGAGAUCUAGAUUUAGAGUUAGGAUGCUUCUAGGGAUGGGGCCACCACAGACCAGCCAUGUGGUCUGGACACAACUUCCCCCACAGUGGUAAGAGAAGCACCGUACAGUCUUCAGAAACCCUCUCUGCCAUGGACCAGCUGCGGGACCCUGGACAAGUCCUGCCACCGCACCACGCCUCGAGGGAUGUUGGCGACAGCACCCACCCCAUUAUCGAUGGUAUCUAGAAAACAACAAGAAUGCCGUGUAUGCUGCUCAUGAGUCUGCACCUCCCCACUCUCCUCUGUGAACUGGUGUCAAUCCCACCCACCUCAGAGUUGUGAGGAUUCAUUACACAAUAAAAAAGCACAAAGAUGUGUUAUUUAUAAAAUAUAGGGCACUAAACAAAUGUUAAGACAUUUUAAUAAUAUUUCACUGAUAGAAAAAAAAAAUCCUGCAGGAGAAAGGAACUGGCAACACCUUGCUUUCUUUGGGGAUCCACACAAAAGGACUGUCACACACUCACAAUGACUCUUUUGCAAGUUGAGCGUAUCAGUAGAAUCUCAGGAUAAAGAAAGAUGACCUCUGUCCCCGUCCUUGAAAAUUCCUGAAAAUACCAACCCAUAUAACAGCAAAAACAAUCCUAGCAAAAUGGGCCACAGUUCUUUCAUUCCAGUGUCCUGCUUGAGCGGGGAUAGCCCUGCCCUCAAUUAGGGCAGAAGGUUGGGCACCCUCCCUGGGAAGUGAGUGUCAGUACCUCAAGGGGACAAGCAGCCGUGAGGGUCACCAAAGUGGGUGUGAAGGAAGGAGGCACAGGUGCCAGACACAGAGCUGGGCAGGAGGGUGGGCCCUGGAGGCUUGGUGAGGCUCCAGAGCUGCCGUGGGGGCAAAGCCAAGUGCCCACCAGGCUACCGGCAGCCUGGCAAAGCCUGGGGCCUCACUGGGGAGAAACCCCACCUAAUUGUGGGCUAAGCUGGGCUCCCACAACCCGUCCCCAGCCCAGGGGCUCCCGGGGCCAGCUGUGCAUAAGACCCACCCAAAAGCUUGUUAGAAAUGCCAAUUCUAGGCCGGGUGCAGUGGCUCACACUUAGUUCACUGAUGAUGGUGGAAAAGCCCGCGGUGAUAAAGAACUACCCACAGCAGAAAGCCUCGCGGCUCA
rnacentral:lncRNA from 10 species